rnacentral:tRNA from 1 species
UCCCUAGUGGCUUGGUGGUAAAGAAUCCGCCUGCAAUGCAGGAGGCCUGGGUUCAAUCCCUGGGUUGGGAA